rnacentral:tRNA from 2 species
GCGGGCGUGGUGAAAUUGGUAGACGCGCGGGACUCAAAAUCCCGUUCCUUAAUCGGAGUGUCGGUUCGAGCCCGACCGCCCGCACCA